UGGUUCCAGCAUCGAUGAAGAACGCAGCGAAAUGCGAUAAAUAAUGUGAAUUGCAGAAUUCCGUGAAUCAUCGAGUUUUUGAACGCACAUUGCACUCCUUGGUAUUCCGAGGAGUACGCCUGUUCGAGCGUCAUUACACUCUCAAGCUCUGCUUGGAUUUGAAUUACUGUUGCGACAGGAUUCCAAUGUCAUAGGCAAUUGACCAUCUGUGAUGACUCACUGGGAGUCAAUUCGCCGGAAACUUUCUAUCAAGUUGACCUCGGAUCAGGCGGGGAUACCCGCUGA
rnacentral:misc_RNA from 1 species